UGGGGAAUAUUGGACAAUGGGGGGAACCCUGAUCCAGCAAUGCCGCGUGUGUGAAGAAGGCCUUAGGGUUGUAAAGCACUUUAGGCGGGGAAGAAGGUGUGUAGUUUAAGAGAUGACACAUUUGACGGUACCCGCAGAAUAAGCACCGGCUAACUCUGUGCCAGCAGCCGCGGUAAUACAGAGGGUGCAAGCGUUAAUCGGAAUUACUGGGCGUAAAGGGCGCGUAGGUGGUUGCGUAAGUGAGAUGUGAAAUCCCCGGGCUUAACCUGGGAACUGCAUCUUAUACUGCGUAGCUGGAGUACAUGAGAGGGUAGUGGAAUUUCCGGUGUAGCGGUGAAAUGCGUAGAUAUCGGAAGGAACACCAGUGGCGAAGGCGGCUACCUGGCAUGAUACUGACACUGAGACGCGAGAGCGUGGGGAGCAAACAGG
rnacentral:rRNA from 1 species